CCCUCAUGGUCGCCGCCAUGACUGAGGGCAGGGGGCGCGGUGGGCGGGGCGAGGGCGGCUCUGCCCAGUUCCGGCCCAAUCACCGUGCGCGGCACCGCCCCUUGAGGCGUGUCCCGCGCUUCCUAUUGGUCCGCGGCCCAACUGGCCACCGCGGCCGCGGCCAAUGGCAGCGCGGAGGGGCGGGGCCUGGGGGAGGCCGCGGGGACCCCGGGACCUCCGGGGGGGGGCCGGGGGGGGCUGGGAACGGCCUGAAAAGGGCGGAAAGGGCCCAAAAAGGGCCCAAAGGGGCCUAAAAAGGGCCCAGAGGGGCUUAAAAGGGCCCCAGGGGGCGGCCUCGAGCCCCAGCGGUCCCCAGGCAAAGUCCAAAGUCCCCAAAGGUGUCCCCCAAAUGGCGCUCGGGCCUCAAAUCGUGGGGUUUAGCCCCAAAAUGGCCCCGGGGGUCCCAAAGUGAGGCUGUGGGGUCCUGAAAUGGUCCCAGGAGUCCCCAAAUGGGUCCAGGGGGUCUCAAAAUGAGUCCAGGGGGUCCCAAAAUGGGCCUGGGGGUCUCAAAAUGGAUCUGGGGGGUCCCAAAAUGGGGUUGGGGGUUCCAAGAUGGGUCUGAGGGGUCUCAAAAUGGGGCUGGGGGUUCCAAGAUGGGUCUGGGGGGCUCCCAAAAUGGGGCUGGAGAGUCCUAAAAUGGGUCUGGGGGGUCCCCAAUUGGGUCUGGGGGCCGGUGCCGGUGCCGCCGCUCAGUGCCGGGUGCCGCAGGGGCCGAGCCGUGCAGCCAGGGGCAGUUCCAGUGCGGGAACGGGGCCUGCAUCUCCGCCAAGUGGGUGUGCGACGGCGGCACCGAGUGCCGGGACGGCUCCGACGAGACCCCCGCCGCCUGCCGUGAGUGCCGGGGCUGGGGCUGGGCUGUACUGGGCUGUACUGGGCCGUACUGGGCCGUACUGGGCUGUACUGGACCGUACUGGGCCGUAGUGGGCCGUACUGGGCCGUACUGGGCUGUACUGGGCCGUACUGGGCCGUACUGGGCCGUACUGGGCCGUACUGGGCUGUACUGGGCUGUACUGGGCAGUACUGGGCCGUACUGGGCCAUACUGGGCUGUACUGGGCCGUACUGGGCUGUACUGGGCUGUGCCGUGCCGUGCCGUCACUCCUCUCCUCUCCUCUUUCUCUCCUUUCUCUUCUUUUCUCAUUCUUCUCUUCCUCUUUUUCUCUUUUCCUUCUCUUUCUUUCCGACUUUUGUGCCCUUCCCCUCCCCUCCCCUCCCCUCCCCUCCCUUCCCUUCCCUUCCCUUCCC
rnacentral:lncRNA from 1 species